CGAGAUACCUGGUUGAUCCUGCCAGUAGUCAUAUGCUUGUCUCAAAGAUUAAGCCAUGCAUGUCUAAGUACAAGCCUGAAUAAGGUGAAACCGCGAAUGGCUCAUUAAAUCACACCUAAUGUACCUGGAAGUUCCAUUACUUGGAUAACUGCGGUAAUUCUGGAGCUAAUACAUGCUAAAGAGCCCUGACUCACGGAGGGGCGCAUUUAUUAGAUCAAAACCAAACGCUUCGGCGUUCAUUGGUGAAUCUGAAUAACUUUUGCUGAUCGUAUGGCUCAACGCCGACGACGUUCCAGUCCAAGGUGUGCCCUAUCAACUUUCGACUGUGAUAUAGACGCUCACAGUGGUUUUGACGGGUAACGGGGAAUUAGGGUUCGAUUCCGGAGAGGGAGCCUGAGAAACGGCUACCACUUCUAAGGAAGGCAGCAGGCACGCAAAUUACCCAAUGGUCGAAGACCGAGGUAGUGACGAAAAAUAACGAUACCGGUCUCUUCCGAGGCCCGGUAAUCGGAAUGAGUACACUUUAAAUCCUUUAACGAGGAACAAUUGGAGGGCAAGUCUGGUGCCAGCAGCCGCGGUAAUUCCAGCUCCAAUAGCGUAUAUUAAAGUUGUUGCGGUUAAAAAGCUCGUAGUUGGAUUUCGGCGAUCAGGGGCCGGUGAUAUAUUUGUAUCUACUGGCCCAUUUGGUCGUAUUUUUGAAAGAGGGUUUGGGGUCCCCUUCACUGGGUGUCCUAGGUCGCUUUCAGGUUUACUUUGAAAAAAUUAGAGUGCUCAAAGCAGGCUUUAACGCUUGAAUAUUCGUGCAUGGAAUAAUAGAAUAGGAAGUUCGUUUCUAUUUUGUUGGUUUUAGGAUAACGACUUAAUGAUUAAUAGGGACAAUCGGGGGAAUUAGUAUUCAAACGACAGAGGUGAAAUUCUUGGACCGUUUGAAGACUAACUACUGCGAAAGCAUUUUCCAAGAGUGUUUUCAUUAAUCAAGAACGAAAGUUAGAGGUUCGAAGGCGAUCAGAUACCGCCCUAGUUCUAACCAUAAACGAUGCCAGCUAGCGAUCUGCUGACGUUUUUACUGUAGACUCAGCAGGAAGCUUCCGGGAAACCAAAGCAUUUGGGUUCCAGGGGAAGUAUGGUUGCAAAGCUGAAACUUAAAGGAAUUGACGGAAGGGCACCACCAGGAGUGGAGCCUGUGGCUUAAUUU
rnacentral:rRNA from 1 species